rnacentral:snRNA from 1 species
GUGCUCAUUUUGGCAGCACAUAUACUAAAAUUGGAAUAAUACAGAGAAGAUUAGCAUGGCCCCUGUGCAAAGAUGACAUGCAAAUUCAUGAAGUGUUCCAUAUAUUU